rnacentral:misc_RNA from 1 species
UUAACUAUUAUAUAGUACUCAGACAAUAUUAUUAACAAGAGUUUUAGGUUCUUUAGCAGGCACUGGCCAGCAGGUGCCGGCGGCUCGAGAGCGGGCCUGCUAAAGCAACAAAGGUAAUAUAAACAAAGGGUGGAGUGUUCAGAGUAGUAGCCGAGACUACUACCCUUAGUUCUCAUUAAUGAUCCUUCCGCAGGUUCACCUACGGAAA